rnacentral:rRNA from 1 species
UACAGAGGUCUCAAGCGUUGUUCGGAUUCAUUGGGCGUAAAGGGUGCGUAGGCGGCGCGGUAUGUCGGGUGUGAAAUCUCGGAGCUUAACUCGGAAACUGCCUUUGAUACUAUCUGUCUUGAAUAUGGUGGAGGUAAGCGGAAUAUGUCAUGUAGCGGUGAAAUGCUUAGAGAUGACAUAGAACACCCAUUGCGAAGGCAGCUUACUACGCCUAUAUUGACGCUGAGGCACGAAAGCGUGGGGAUCAAACAGG